AUCUGUGUAGUAUAAUGUAUAUAUGACUUCCAAUCAUAAGGUCUAUUACCUAAUAGUACAGAUA
rnacentral:tRNA from 1 species